UUGAUAUACAUUGUUAGUAUAUAUACUCAUGUGUGUUUUCUCCUGCAGAUUGGUAGACUAAUAUAUGUCCAACCAGUGAAAGAAAAUAACAUGAAUGAAUUCUGAGCUUUCUUGCAAUAUUCACCCGCUUGCCGUUGUUUCGUUUAUGUACAUAUAAAAUCAGGUGUUACAAAAGAAGGCUGAUGAAGAUUAUAUUAUCUAAUCAGCAACUGAUCUGGUACAAUAAAGAAGCAGCAAAUGAGCUAGAAAAAAUCAGUGUGGAGAUGAAUAAAUCCGGCAUCUUGAUGUUUCAUAUCUAUUGGUUCCUUGUUUGGCAGCCUAUGUUGGUAGAUGUGAGAGCUCCAAAUAUGGAAGCAGCCAGCGUGCGAAAGAUUAAAGGAUGCAUUGCUACAGUGAAAACAUUCAGUGGGCGACCAACGACCAGAAUGUCAUUGCUUUUAUCAUGGCAUCCAACACUUGCAGAUGUGACACAAAAGGGGGUUCUGAAGCUGAUGAACUUGGAUGGCCUGACAGUCUACAAUACCAACGACCAUGUCCAAGUACACGAACUUGAAAACUUUCUAAGAUUCGUACACACCUUCAGGUAAAGAUCAGAAAGCCGACAGCGUUUCUAUUAUGUUUCAGGAAAAAAUUGGAUCUUUUUGGUCGGUUAUUGCAACCAUCUGUCUGAAUGAGUAUAAAAACAAUGCUAUGAGGUAAUGCAAGCAUGAGGGUGCCUCUUUUCACAAUAUGCGAACGUAUGGGCUAUUCGAGGCUUUAUGUUGUUUUUCAAUCUAAGGCACGUGAAACUUUACUGUGUCGUUAUUUAACAUACCAAUAUCAUUGCUUCCUCCAAAUUCAAUUGAUUUUCAUUUCUUGAUUCAUG